UCUGAAUCUGCGAACGGCUCCGCAAACCAGUUGUAAACUAUUGCUAGCACGCUCAUUGUCUUCGGACGGUGGGCUAUAAGGAUAACCCUGGUAAUUCUGAGGCUAAUACUCGACCGUAAAACUCGCUGGUCUGGGUAACUGGUAAGGCGAGGGACGUGUAAUUGAUCGCAGGAGAUGCCGGGAAAGGAUGCACGUUCUGACCACCAUACAAACAGUAUCCCCGAAGCCCGCAAGGGCAGAAGGGUGUCUGGGUGGCUCUAGCAUUGUGCUUCUGACCUAUCAACUAGAUGGCAGUGUAAGGGACAUGCCAUGGU
rnacentral:rRNA from 1 species